GAUGAACGCUGGCGGCGUGCCUAAUACAUGCGAGUCGAGCGAACAGACGAGGAGCUUGCUCCUCUGACGUUAGCGGCGGACGGGUGAGUAACACGUGGAUAACCUACCUAUAAGACUGGGAUAACUUCGGGAAACCGGAGCUAAUACCGGAUAAUAUAUUGAACCGCAUGGUUCAAUAGUGAAAGACGGUUUUGCUGUCACUUAUAGAUGGAUCCGCGCCGCAUUAGCUAGUUGGUAAGGUAACGGCUUACCAAGGCAACGAUGCGUAGCCGACCUGAGAGGGUGAUUGGCCACACUGGAACUGAGACACGGUCCAGACUCCUACGGGAGGCAGCAGUAGGGAAUCUUCCGCAAUGGGCGAAAGCUUGACGGAGCAACGCCGCGUGAGUGAUGAAGGUCUUCGGAUCGUAAAACUCUGUUAUUAGGGAAGAACAAAUGUGUAAGUAACUAUGCACGUCUUGACGGUACCUAAUCAGAAAGCCACGGCUAACUACGUG
rnacentral:rRNA from 1 species